GAUGAACGCUGGCGGCGUGCCUAAUACAUGCAAGUCGAGCGAACAGACGCAGGGUUUCCUCCUCUCUCGUUUGCCGCGCGCGUGUGAGUAACACGUGGAUUCCCUCCUUAUCUUCCUGGUGUACCUUCGGGACUCCGUAUCUAAUCCCGUAUAAUCUAUUGAACCGCAUUGUUCAAUAAUGUAUGUUGGUUUUGCUGUCACUUAUAGAUGUAUCCGCGUCGCAUUAGAUAGUUGGUAAGGUAACGGCUUACCAAGGCGACGAUGGGUAGCCGACCUGAGAGGGUGAACGGGGACACAGGAACUGAGAGACGGUACAGAGUCCGAGGGGAGGCAGAAAUAGGGAAGCUUGAGAAAUGGGCGAAAGAUUGAAGGAGCAACGCAACGUGAGUGAUGAAGGGCUGCGGAUGGGAAAACGGUGUUAUUAGGGAAGAACAAAUGUGUAAGUAACGAAGCACGUCUUGACGGUACCUAAUCAGAAAGCAACGGCUAACUACGUG
rnacentral:rRNA from 1 species